GGCUGGAUGGUGCAAUGGUAGCACGCUUGGAUUUUGCUACCACACGCGGAUAGAGCUCCUCCAAGAGCUCCCCGUUCGAUUCGGGGUUCGGCCU